UAAUUAUAAUUGUUUGUCAAGGGUAUUUCCGGUAAUUUAUUCUUACACUACAGCCCUUUCAUUUCCACUUUCAUUUUCUCAUAUAUUUUUCGGCACGCUCCACUCUUCAUUUUUCCAUAUACUGUACCUUGCUGCUAAAAUUUGGGUUUGUCUUUCCAUUUCUCAAUUCUACGAUUCCAUGAUAGUUUUGCUUCUCUGACCGUCUUCUCUAUAUCUUUUCUAUUUCAUUUUCUUUCUUAAUAUUUUCUCAGUUCUUUCUUAUGGCCAUGGCAGGUUGCUUCAUAAAAUUGGACUUAGUGAUUGAAUUUAUUUACCAACACGUGUAUAAAAUACAUCAAUUUUCGUUUUUUGGGUCGUGAAAAUAUCGAUGAACAUACUUUGAUGGUCUUUUAUAUCUAAAUCUAAAUGCUAUAAGAGUGGUUUAUAGUUAGUGAUAGUUUCUUUCCUACUGGCUGUAUUUUUACUUUUUUUCCCAGUCAUUUAAUCGUUUUAAUUCUUAGUUUACUUGACAUGAUACAGAUAAAUCUAAGGUGCUUGAUGAUAUGCCUGAAAGAAAAUUGAUGAUUAUUUUGGUAAUUGAAAUGUUUUAUUUUUCAACUGGACAUUACAUCAUACAAGAUAUACAGAUGAUAAACUUCAACAAGAAUAGAUUUUCAUGGUUUAAGCUAAUGAAAUUAAUCUCUACCGAUGGUUUCCCAGUCUACACUAUUAAAAUUACAACUACGAAAGAAAUGGUAUCUUAUGUUUUGGUCUUCUGAAUUUGCUUUGGAAAAUUGCUUAUUAUAUUUCCACGCCGCUAAAUAUGUUAUGUGCAUGUAUUGAUGUUCAGUAUAGUUCAUCCUUGACGUAUACAAUGAUCAGGAAUCCGUGACUUAAAUAGCACAAAAAAUAAAAAGUUGAACCAAAUUAGUACCAAAAAAAAAAAGAACAUAAGUAGUAUUCACGCACGAAUUUUGUGCGUGAAAGGACCAAACUGCAAAUUUGCAGGGUUGGCCUUUGGCGCACGAAAAUCGCACGAAUUUCGUGCGUGAAUGGGUGAUCAUAUAUUGACCCGACUUGUCGAACACCAUGAGAAUCAGAAAUCAAGACCUCCGAUGGGAGUGCAAUAUUCGACCUAUACGGGAUACCCAACAGUAACCUUUUCAGAGAACCACCGUAAAAGCUUAAUCCCCAAGUAUAAGCUCACUUUGAUUGGGAAUUUCUUCCAUAGGAGGCCAAAAAUGAAAGAAAUCCGAGUUGAUUUCAGUGCAAAGAAUCCUCUGAACGGCCAGGUGAAGAUUAGGGCUUGCACUUGUCGACAAAUAUUACUUUGUUUCACCAAUGAAGAGGAUUACUACACUAUUUUGUACAAGAAAUCACUCUUCGUUGCUGGUGCCGUCAUGCUGAUUUCCUGGUCCCCAGAUUUCCACCAUGAAGUAAUUGCAACAAAAAUGGCACAGAGAUUGGGUAUACAUGCUAUGACUCUUUGAGACUGACGAUGGACGUGUAAACUGCAGGUUGUUGAUAAAUGUAAAGCACAAGAAGGCAGAACACACAAGAUAUCAUCUUUCUCAAUGGGCGAGGAAAUGAAGUCAUAUGCAAAUAAUUUUGCGUACAAUACUUUUUGCAUAUACUACUAGAUCCAACUUCCACAACACCAUCUGGAUAGUUGCGUCAGGUCGAAGGAUCUUAACUUUCGAAGAAGCUCGGGGGUGUUGAGCUAGCUGUACUUGGUAACCAUUUGAUGGAAAGCAGAUCUAUUUUUAUCUGGGAGAAAUAGUACUGAGCAAAACUAUAAAUCUUAAUUUCUAGCUAGCCUAGCCAUCUCUGUCAUUUCGAGGUAGUAAGAUCAACCUUUUUUGAUUUCACAUCUAAUGUAAUGCUGAAAAGCUCUCUUCCUAAAAUCUGAAUUUGAUUGUUUUCUUGCUUUGCACGGUGCUUUUAUUCAUCUGUACAUCUGUGUAUUCUCUAUCGAAUGCAUUUUUAGUGCAACAAUUUGCUUACGUGUGGCUUUCAUUUAAGCAAGAUUAAAAUACUUGUAGUAGAUGAACUUAUCUUCAUUUUCUUAUUUGUUAAAAGGUUUGAGCGGGAAGAAGUUCAGAUUGUAGCUCGCUUUUGAGUUUGCAACAUAUACAUCUUUUGAUAGCCACCAUGUGCAUGGAAGAAGAAUAACUCAAAGUAUAGCUUGUUACCAUUUCCCAUUUACGGGCCAUGUGGUGAUUUUUUUUUUUUUUGGGGACAUGUAUAGGAGUUGGACAAGGAUAAAUUGCAAGAGGGUCAUAUGAUGAUACAGUAGAAUAUACAAGACUCUGGACUCAAAGUUCACUCUACAUAAAUCUUGAACAUUUAGAGCAAGCUUGAAAAUAAAUGGAGAGCUGCUGUAUGGUACAUGCACCUGUUCACUAAAUCUCUUGUGCCGGAGGAUCCUUUUUGCUAUCUCAGAAUUCAAAUCAUUGAGGAAUAUAAGUUUUAAGGCACAAGACACUGUGAUCUUGGAGCCAAGCGUGGAAGUGAAAGUUCGCAAGAUUUGGGCUGUCUACUAGGGUCCCAUGUAUUGCUGCUGGAAAUUUUGUUCAUUUCUUUUUUAUUCUUCUCUGCCGCAUAUAUACGAAGAGGUGCAAUUCCAAUUGAAUAUGCAACUAGCACUUUGCAGCUGCACGUUUCUAGCUUUUAGUGAAUAAGACAUAGUUAUGAUGGAAUUAGUGAAUAAGACAUACUCCACAAACAUCAUUAUAACUAUAGUGAAUUAGUGGAUACCUUAAUCUCUUAUUUUCUUUGUCUUAAACUAUAGCUGCGCAAGAUUUUGUUUUCCUAUGAUGUAAUGUUUGAUGUUAUCCUUAAUCUAUUGGAUCCGAAACUCUUGAUUGCUUAGUGAUAUUAACGGGA